UGUUUGUAUAAAAAUCCGUGGUCUGCUUGUCAUAAACCAUAUCAAAUACAUUUGGUAAAAUGUUAUGAAUCAAGAAUUCAGACAGUGUCAGUAAAACGAAUAAGUAAUUGAAUCAUAGAUAAAUUAUUUAUUAACCAAUAUAUCAUUCACUUUUUAAUCGAAGUACCUUCACUGCUCCACUUUGCACUCGACAAAGAACGCUCGAAGUGUCUCAAGCCUUAUCGAACACCUAUUCCGUUCGGAGUAAAACAAAAGAGAAUCGACGACGGAGUUCCAGUUGCUCGUAAAUAAGCUCGAAUUCCGGUUCUACGGAUCGAGUGGCGGUAAAUCAACGCGCGGAAAAAGAAAUGCUGAGACUUUCCGUCGCCGAUUUAAUCUAGUUUCGUCGUUUUCUAAGCGUCGCGUGACGCGCCUUCGCAAAACCCAGAAAAUCGUAGGCGUAAGGACCACCGGCUAGCAAUUAAGACCCGGCGACCCCUUUUCAUAUUCUAAUUCCGCUUCGCUCCUUAAAUCAUACUUAAACGUUUCUUUUGUCUGUUUCAGGUGAGUGCAACUUACGUCUUUGUCUGUCGGUUCUCUUCAUUCAGGACAGAUAUAUUAUCAUUUAAAUCGUCGUUACUGAGGGAAACAGGCAGGUAGACACGGUCCUUUUACGAAGUUCACCUGGUGAGAAAAAGGAAUGGAAAGGGGGACGCACGUUGCGUGCACGUCUGGAAUUCCUCUGGUGACUCAUAGGCGUUCGCCAAGAAGCCCGGUAUGGGAACUCGUCCCCGGGCUCGUGUGCUCUUCGCAUUUCCAUGCACGAACCCAUCCACCGGGGCAGUGACUCAACCGAAUUUCUUUUUACUCUCCUCCCCUUCGUGUCUCAUCCUCGAUUUUCAGAUCGACCCGGUGGAACGUAUGAAUCACUUUGCCCGAGAUGCCUGAUCCUCAGGAAUUACCCUCUUGAUGCGUGUAAUUAGGGGUUAGUCGAGUUGGAAUGUUGGACGAGGGGAGAUGCUUUCCGAAGAAUUCAUAUAUUGUAGAUAUUUCAAAUAACACAUCUUCAGUUGAUUAAUUCAUAUUCACGCAGCAUGCAGUCAUCAAAAAUUCAAUUAUUCUCGACAAUGUCACUGAAAAUAUUGAUAGACACGAAAUAUCAAUAAAAAUAGAAUUAUCGAACCUCA